AAUGUCACAUACAGAGUUUUCACCCUCGUUCGAUUUAACAGCCACUGUUUUACGUGGGUAAUUUUCUCAUUAUAUUGCACUUGUUUAUGACAGUGAUAAUAAACUAAUACGAGCACUAAGUAGUUCUGGUUGCAGACAUUCAAUCGAGGUUAGUUGUCCUAUUUGAUUUUAUGUGCUUUCAGUAGACGUUUAACCAGUCUCUUGUAGAUAAUUAAUUACAACGAUCUUGUAUACUUGCAUUAACCUGUGUAUACGAUCAUGUAAUAAUAAGAUACUAGAUAAAAAUAUAAGGUCACUGAUUAACGCAAGCGUCCCUAAAAUUGCGUCAGUGAUCAAAACUUUACUAGACAUGCAAAUCUGCACGUAGCACGUAAAUAUUUAUUAGGUUUAUCCACAUUUUAUCCUUCCUUAGUGAACUCAAUUGCGUAAUAUGUAUCAAAGAGAACAGUGACUUUGGAAACCGUCUGUGACGUAUUAUGCAGCAGUGUAGGGAGCGACUGUUUACUUUUGCGACGUCUAAACAAAUAGCGCGCCAGCCAGCCUGACUCUUGCGCAUCUGUGACGUAAAGCGACGAGCCCAAAGAUAACAAUACAACGUUUAUAAGGCUGCAAGGGUAUUGAGAGCACCAAACAUUUUCAGACAGUCUGACUGAGAUACAUGCACGAAGAAUUACAAAAAUAACCUGAAAACAAUGGCGAAGCUUUUGUUAUUAAUUGUGCUAUUGGCCGUAUGUGUUGUUGGUUACGCCAAACAUAUACACCCGAGGAAUACGAUUCAUUUGGAAGAGGACCCGGCUAUCGAUGGAGAACCGAUUUCUACAGACAUAGAUGGCAUGCCAAUUGAAGUCAUCAGAAACAUCAAGCCGAGUCGUUUCGUGCCGGUGAACAACGUGCUGUUCUUCAUGAGAUAUCCUCCUUGCGAGGAGGGCUUCGAGCGUGACCUCCUUGGAGUCUGCAGGGAGGUCUGGGACUAAGAUACCAUAGAGCAUAAAGCACAGAGUAACCUGUACGGAGUUUCAAUGCUUUUGACAGUCUUUAAUGACUGGAGGGCUGUUCGGACAAUGAAGGCAUCUCCUCACGAAGGUCACGCCUAUCUACGUAUCCUACUAGUGGCAGAUAACUGUAUGGAGUUACGCUGUGAUAUUAGUGGCCAAUGUAUGAGCAAACUAUUCAUUAUGUUGAACAGUGCGAUGUUAGCGAACUUUUACAAUAAGAUUCACCUAAUUUCAUAGUAGAUAAGGUAGAUUAAGAGAUUACAAUGUUAUAUCCUUAAAUAAAAAUGUUAUACAACAAAA